rnacentral:rRNA from 1 species
GUGGGGAAUCUUGCGCAAUGGGCGAAAGCCUGACGCAGCCAUGCCGCGUGAAUGAUGAAGGUCUUAGGAUUGUAAAAUUCUUUCACCGGGGACGAUAAUGACGGUACCCGGAGAAGAAGCUCCGGCUAACUUCGUGUCAGCAGCCGCGGUAAUACGAAGGGGGCUAGCGUUGCUCGGAAUUACUGGGCGUAAAGGGCGCGUAGGCGGACAGCUUAGUCAGAGGUGAAAGCCCAGGGCCCAACCUUGGAAUUGCCUUUGAUACUGGCUGUCUUGAGUUUGGGAGAGGUGAGUGGAACUCCGAGUGUAGAGGUGAAAUUCGUAGAUAUUCGGAAGAACACCAGUGGCGAAGGCGACUCACUGGCCCAAUACUGACGCUGAGGCGCGAAAGCGUGGGGAGCAAACAGGAUUAGAAACCCUGGUAGUCC